rnacentral:lncRNA from 1 species
GAUUAAUACCUAAUAAGUAAAAUAUCUCAAGACUCAGAUAUUCUGGUCUCCAGAGUUACACAGUUUUAAUGACUUCCUUACUUCUCAUGAUCUCUAUACUGUUUAACUUUCCUCGGUGUGUUUUUAAGUCUUUGCUAUCUUGUUCUAGUUUUUUGCAAGAAUCACGAAAAUGAUUCUUGGAUUUCCAGACUCUUCCUUUUGAAAGCUGGGUAAAUUAGGAGUGAAAGAAAAGAUGAGGCUCUCGCUGAGCAGUGGUCAUUAUCAAAGACCAGCUUCGACUCUUUACUCUGUGGAAACUUUGCUGAGUUGUCGUUGACAUCAGUCAGAGUGAUCGUCACUCUGGUUGUCCCUGAGAGUCCACCCAUGUGUCCACCCAUGUCCUUAGCCUGGAUCACCACGUGGUACUCCUCCUUGGCUUCUCUGUCCAUAUUGGGAAGGGCUGUCCUGAUGAUUCCUGUUUGGGCCUCCACUGAGAAGUAGGGUUGUCCUUCAAGGAUGCUAUACACUAACUUGGCACUUUUUCCAUAGGUGGGAUUAUCUGCAUCAGAGGCUGUCACUUGGAUAACUGAUGUUCCUACCCACAUUGGACCUCUCAGGCACAUUGCUUUUCACCAGUGGGUAGAGAUAAUUUCAGAGGAAGAUCCUG